GACGAACCGUGCAAACGUUAUUCGGAUUCACUGGGCUUAAAGGGCGCGUAGGCGGGCCGCCAAGUCAGGGGUGAAAUCUUUCGGCUCAACCGGAAAAGUGCCUCUGAUACUGGCGGCCUCGAGGGAGGUAGGGGCAUGCGGAACUUCCGGUGGAGCGGUGAAAUGCGUAGAUAUCGGAAGGAACGCCGGUGGCGAAAGCGGCGUGCUGGACCUCUUCUGACGCUGAGGCGCGAAAGCUAGGGGAG
rnacentral:rRNA from 1 species